AACGCUAGCUACAGGCUUAACACAUGCAAGUCGAGGGGCAGCAUGAACUUAGCUUGCUAAGUUUGAUGGCGACCGGCGCACGGGUGAGUAACACGUAUCCAACCUCCCGCAUACUCGGGGAUAGCCUUUCGAAAGAAAGAUUAAUACCCGAUAGUUUCAAGAGUUUGCAUGAAAACUUGAAUAAAGAUUCAUUGGUAUGCGAUGGGGAUGCGUUCCAUUAGGUAGUAGGCGGGGUAACGGCCCACCUAGCCUACGAUGGAUAGGGGUUCUGAGAGGAAGGUCCCCCACAUUGGAACUGAGACACGGUCCAAACUCCUACGGGAGGCAGCAGUGAGGAAUAUUGGUCAAUGGACGAGAGUCUGAACCAGCCAAGUAGCGUGAAGGAUGAAGGUCCUACGGAUUGUAAACUUCUUUUAUAAGGGAAUAAAACCUCCCACGUGUGGGAGCUUGUAUGUACCUUAUGAAUAAGCAUCGGCUAACUCCGUGCCAGCAGCCGCGGUAAUACGGAGGAUGCGAGCGUUAUCCGGAUUUAUUGGGUUUAAAGGGAGCGCAGACGGGUCGUUAAGUCAGCUGUGAAAGUUUGGGGCUCAACCUUAAAAUUGCAGUUGAUACUGGCGUCCUUGAGUGCGGUUGAGGUGUGCGGAAUUCGUGGUGUAGCGGUGAAAUGCUUAGAUAUCACGAAGAACUCCGAUUG
rnacentral:rRNA from 1 species